UGGGGGAAUUUUGGACAAUGGGCGAAAGCCUGAUCCAGCAAUGCCGCGUGUGUGAAGAAGGCCUUCGGGUUGUAAAGCACUUUUGUCCGGAAAGAAAUCCUUGGCUCUAAUACAGUCGGGGGAUGACGGUACCGGAAGAAUAAGCACCGGCUAACUACGUGCCAGCAGCCGCGGUAAUACGUAGGGUGCAAGCGUUAAUCGGAAUUACUGGGCGUAAAGCGUGCGCAGGCGGUUUGCUAAGACCGAUGUGAAAUCCCCGGGCUCAACCUGGGAACUGCAUUGGUGACUGGCAGGCUAGAGUAUGGCAGAGGGGGGUAGAAUUCCACGUGUAGCAGUGAAAUGCGUAGAGAUGUGGAGGAAUACCGAUGGCGAAGGCAGCCCCCUGGGCCAAUACUGACGCUCAUGCACGAAAGCGUGGGGAGCAAACAGGAUUAGAUACCCUGGUAGUCCACGCCCUAAACGAUGUCAACUAGUUGUUGGGGAUUCAUUUCCUUAGUAACGUAGCUAACGCGUGAAG
rnacentral:rRNA from 1 species